AGUGAACGCUGGCGGUAGGCCUAACACAUGCAAGUCGAACGGCAGCACAGUAAGAGCUUGCUCUUACGGGUGGCGAGUGGCGGACGGGUGAGGAAUACAUCGGAAUCUACUUUUUCGUGGGGGAUAACGUAGGGAAACUUACGCUAAUACCGCAUACGACCUACGGGUGAAAGCAGGGGAUCUUCGGACCUUGCGCGAUUGAAUGAGCCGAUGUCGGAUUAGCUAGUUGGCGGGGUAAAGGCCCACCAAGGCGACGAUCCGUAGCUGGUCUGAGAGGAUGAUCAGCCACACUGGAACUGAGACACGGUCCAGACUCCUACGGGAGGCAGCAGUGGGGAAUAUUGGACAAUGGGCGCAAGCCUGAUCCAGCCAUACCGAGUGGGUGAAGAAGGCCUUCGGGUUGUAAAGCCCUUUUGUUGGGAAAGAAAAGCAGCAGGUUAAGACCACGCUGUUCUGACGGUACCCAAAGAAUAAGCACCGGCUAACUUCGUG
rnacentral:rRNA from 1 species